rnacentral:misc_RNA from 1 species
GAAAUGCGAUAAGUAGUGUGAAUUGCAGAGUUCAGUGAAUCAUCGAAUCUUUGAACGUACAUUGCGCCCCUUGGUAUUCCAUGGGGCAUGCCUGUUCGAGCGUCAUUUGUACCCUCAAGCUCUGCUUGGUGUUGGGUGUUUGUCCCGUCUCCGCGCGUGGACUCGCCCCAAAGUGAUUGGCAGCCGGCGUACUGGUCCCGGAGCGCAGCACAUGUCGCGCAAACGAGUGCCUUGGUACGGCGGCGUCCAUAAGCCCCUCUCUCACGCUCUUGACCUCGGAUCAGGUAGGGAUACCCGCUGAACUUAAGC